UGAAAAAUGUCAAUAAAAUCUUUUUUGGAGUUUUCAACUUGACACUUCAAAUAAAAAUGACACCAACAAUUAUGAAAGAAAAAAUCUUUUUGGUAUUUUCAUUACAUGAAAUGUACAAAUUUCUACCAUUUUUUGCAUUUUCUUUUAUAAAAACUGCUAAAAAAUCUUUUUUGAAAAUUUUGAAUUAUGAAUGCAUGCUAAAGGAGACAAAGUGAGA
rnacentral:lncRNA from 1 species